UACGUAGGGCGCAAGCGUUAUCCGGAAUUAUUGGGCGUAAAGAGCUCGUAGGCGGUUUGUCGCGUCUGCCGUGAAAGUCCGGGGCUCAACUCCGGAUCUGCGGUGGGUACGGGCAGACUAGAGUGAUGUAGGGGAGACUGGAAUUCCUGGUGUAGCGGUGAAAUGCGCAGAUAUCAGGAGGAACACCGAUGGCGAAGGCAGGUCUCUGGGCAUUAACUGACGCUGAGGAGCGAAAGCAUGGGGAGCGAACAGGAUUAGAUACCCU
rnacentral:rRNA from 1 species